GUAGGUGGCAAGCGUUGUCCGGAAUUAUUGGGCGUAAAGCGCGCGCAGGCGGUUCUUUAAGUCUGAUGUGAAAGCCCACGGCUCAACCGUGGAGGGUCAUUGGAAACUGGAGAACUUGAGUACAGAAGAGGAAAGCGGAAUUCCACGUGUAGCGGUGAAAUGCGUAGAGAUGUGGAGGAACACCAGUGGCGAAGGCGGCUUUCUGGUCUGUAACUGACGCUGAGGCGCGAAAGCGUGGGGAGCAAACAGGGAUUAGAUACCCUGGUAGUCCACGCCGUAAACGAUGAGUGCUAAGUGUUAGGGGGGGUUUUCCGCCCCCUUAGUGCUGCAGCUAACGCAUUAAGCACUCCGCCUGGGGAGUACGGCCGCAAGGCUG
rnacentral:rRNA from 1 species